rnacentral:rRNA from 1 species
AUAUCAAUAAGCGGAGGAAAAGAAACUAACAAGGAUUCCCCUAGUAACGGCGAGUGAAGCGGGAAGAGCUCAAAUUUGAAAUCUGGCGUCCUCAGGGCGUCCGAGUUGUAAUCUAUAGGAACGUUUUCCGUGCCGGCUCAUGUACAAGUCCCUUGGAACAGGGCGUCAUAGAGGGUGAGAAUCCCGUACUUGACAUGAACUACCGGUGCUCUGUGAUACGUCUCCAACGAGUCGAGUUGUUUGGGAAUGCAGCUCAAAAUGGGUGGUAAAUUCCAUCUAAAGCUAAAUAUUGGUGUGAGACCGAUAGCGAACAAGUACCGUGAGGGAAAGAUGAAAAGCACUUUGGAAAGAGAGUUAAAAAGUAU